rnacentral:lncRNA from 1 species
UUCUUUCGCUUUCCAUCUAUCCCUUUAAAUCCCAUCCAUCUUAUACAGAGAAGCGUAUCGAUCCCCCUCCUAUCCAUCCUCAUAAACUUAUUGCCGACCGCCACUCCCGCAACGCCACCUUUCCGCCCCCCACGUAGCCAUGCUCUUCUCGGCCGCUGCCCUGAUACCGCCCUCCUCGUCGGCGCUGCUGCGGCCUCGUCUACCCGUUUCUCUUCCCGGUACGCCCCCUUUCCUUCCAUCCAUCAGGCUCUUAAAGGAUCAUGAUUUAUUUGUUCCUGGUUUCCCCUGUUCUUUCCUCUUUCAUCCGUCGAGGUAUCAAACUAGAGUUUGGUUCGGUUUCGUCCGCUUUUUGUUCAAUUUUUUGAUGUUCGAAGAGCAGUGGAGGAGGACUACGAGACCGCCGGAAUGUUCUUUGACCCCUCAAUUAGCUAGGUUUGGGUCUAGAAGAUAGCAAUGACCAAUGAGGCAAUGGUGCAUCAUUUCAUCCAAAUGAUCUAAAUCUCUCGCUUUGUUCCAUGCAAACUGUGCUUGAGAUUUUCCUCCUAUUUCUAUCAGUGUACCGAAAAAGCCCCAAGUGUUAAUGAAGUGUGACCAUAAAUGGUUUUAGAUGGAUUAGCAGGCUUUGAGAAGUUUUUUUUUUUUUUGUCUGUCUCUCUCUCUCUCUCUUCUCUUUCAAGCGCCGUCUGAUGGAUCCAUGAUAAUUUCUUUCCUUUUUCUUCCUUGAACAAGUGGCAAUGGUGUACUUAUCAGUGGUUUUAGAUGGAUAGAUUACGUCGAGAUCUAAGCUGUCUUUAUUAUUAUUAUUAUUAUUAUUAUUUUCUUUUUCCUUUCAAAAGAAAGUAGGAUUUGAGAUUCUGGCAAAUGAUGCAAGUUGUUUCAUAUUCUGAUCAUGUGCCAUGAAACAAGGGUAAUUGAUAUCUUCCCUAAAUAAUGCAGUUAUUUAGUGAGGGAAAUUUGAUCAAAGAAACUUUAGCUCUUUAUCUUCUUCCUGCUCUCAUAUAUAAGCCGUUGUUGUAAAUUUGGUCAGUCCUUUCUAUGUGGAAAUGAAAGAAGUGUAACAGAGAAAAUAUUAUAAAUAAUAUUUAUUUAUACACAUAAUAUUAAGGUUUUAAUCAGAUAAGAUCAGGGCCAUCCAUCCUGCUACUCCAUAAUUUAUCUUUAUUAUUUUUGGAGGAAAUAUUUCUAUAAGGCGGUAACCCAGGCCUCGUGCAGCCUUUUCUCGUUGUCUUCUUUCUACACGGGACAUGGGUGGUCCUAAUCAAGAGGAAAUGAGGAAUGGAUGAAAUGAUGAUUUGCUGUUUGUGCUCGUGUACCAGGUCCGUCUAAUCUAGCUGUCGUACGGAGGCCAGAGGGUAACCUAUGUCUUGCCCGCUGGAGGUGCCAUGCAAUAUCCAAAGGAGGCGCUCAAGGUACUGAUGCUCUUUAA